rnacentral:misc_RNA from 1 species
GAUGAAGAACGCAACGAAAUGCGAUAAGUAAUGUGAAUUGCAGAAUUCAGUGAAUCAUCGAAUCUUUGAACGCAUCUUGCGCUCCUUGGUAUUCUGAGGAGCAUGCCUGUUUGAGUGUCAUUAAAUUCUCAACUACACUGACUUUGAAUUGGUGUGGCUUGGAUUUGGGGGGAAAAUUGUUGUGGGCUUUUUGUAUAGUCUGCUCCCCUGAAAUUGAUUAGCGGUACCUUUGUGGAACUGUCUACAGGUGUGAUAAUUAUCUACAUCUUAGACAUCUGCUGGAAUGCUGCUUUCUAAACCUUACUUGUAUUGACAAUCUUGACCUCAAAUCAGGUAGGACUACCCGCUGAACUUAAGCAUAUCAAUAAGCGGAGGA